CCGUAGGUGAACCUGCGGAAGGAUCAUUACCUUUCAAUGCAGAAGAGUUGAGAUGGUUGAGUAUCUCGCCUCUCAAUUCUCGCUGUAUUUUACCCUUGUUUUUCUCAUACUAUUAUUUCCUCGGCAGGCUCGCCUGCCGGGUGAAACAACUUCAAACCUGUUUAAUUUUCAAUCAGCGUCUGAACAAAUUAAUAAUUACAACUUUCAACAACGGAUCUCUUGGUUCUGGCAUCGAUGAAGAACGCAGCGAAAUGCGAUAAGUAGUGUGAAUUGCAGAAUUCAGUGAAUCAUCGAAUCUUUGAACGCACAUUGCGCCCCUUGGUAUUCCAUGGGGCAUGCCUGUUCGAGCGUCAUUUGUACCUUCAAGCUCUGCUUGGUGUUGGGUGUUUGUCCUUGCUCUAGUGGCGGGACUCGCCUUAAAGUAAUUGGCAGCCAGUGUUUUGGUUUUGAAGCGCAGCACAAGUCGCGAUUCAAGUCUAUACGCUAGUUUCCACAAGUCUUUUAUCACUUUGACCUCGGAUCAGGUAGGGAACC
rnacentral:rRNA from 1 species